GAUGAAGAACGCAGCGAAACGCGAUAAGUAAUGUGAAUUGCAGAAUCCAGUGAAUCAUCGAAUCUUUGAACGCACAUUGCGCCUGCCAGCAUUCUGGCGGGCAUGCCUGUUCGAGCGUCAUUUCAACCCUCGACCUCCCCUUGGGGAGGUCGGCGUUGGGGACCGGCAGCACACCGCCGGCCCUGAAAUGGAGUGGCGGCCCGUCCGCGGCGACCUCUGCGCAGUAAUACAGCUCGCACCGGGACCCCGACGCGGCCACGCCGUAAAACACCCAACUUCUGAACGUUGACCUCGAAUCAGGUAGGACUACCCGCUGAACUUAAGCAUAUCAAUAAGCGGAGGA
rnacentral:misc_RNA from 1 species